rnacentral:rRNA from 1 species
UACGAAGGGGCUAGCGUUGCUCGGAAUCACUGGGCGUAAAGCGCACGUAGGCGGAUUCUUAAGUCAGGGGUGAAAUCCUGGAGCUCAACUCCAGAACUGCCUUUGAUACUGAGGGUCUUGAGUUCGGGAGAGGUGAGUGGAACUGCGAGUGUAGAGGUGAAAUUCGUAGAUAUUCGCAAGAACACCAGUGGCGAAGGCGGCUCACUGGCCCGAUACUGACGCUGAGGUGCGAAAGCGUGGGGAGCAAACAGG